rnacentral:lncRNA from 12 species
UAUCCUAGUUUCCACAAAAUUCAGAGUUGUUAAACUUGGGUUGCAAAACCAGGAAAAAUAAACCUCCAGAUGUCCUCUGAAUGCUGAGUUUCCAUGACAUCAUCACCAAAUUCAGGAGACUGCAUUGUAUAAUCUGGCCUCUUUUGUGAUUUUACAGCUAAACUCAGGUCCUCCCACAUGGAUUAAUUAUAUUUGAAAUUGUUAUGCCACAACAGAAGAUUAUAAGAAUAUUUCAGGGGCGCCUGGGUGGCUCAGUCAAUUAAGCAUCUGACUCUUGAUUUUGGCUCAGGUCAUGAUCUCAGGGUAGUGAGUCUGAGGCCCAUGUUGGGCUCUGCACUCAGUGGCAGUCUGCUUGAGAUUCUCUCUUCCUCUGCCCCUCCCCUCCACACUCAUGCUCUCUGUCUCUCUCUCCCUCUAAAAUAAAUAAAUCUUUAAAAAAAGAAGAAGGAAGGAAGGAAGGAAGGAAGGAAGGAAGGAAGGAAGGAAGGAAGGAAGGAAGGAAGGAAGGAAGGAAGGAAGGAAGGGAGAAAGGGAGAAAGGGAGAAAGAGAGAAAGAGAAAGAAAGAAUAUUUCAAAUUGAGAAGAUCCCACAUUGUCUCUUCCAAUUUGUUUCUCAGGUCACUACACGGACCUGGUGAGGAGUUUGGGGUAGACCAGAAACCUCUGUCACCCAAGACCCAUCAAAGCAUGCAGAAACAAAAGAAGAAUGAGUAUAUCCAAUUCUGGGUCUCUGCAAGGUAAGUCCAAUAUUUUGUUCUAACAUUUUCCCAUCAAAUAUAGUAGAAAGAAGUUGAGUUGCUGUUGUGCUGCAAUCUGACAUUUAGGCUUAUGUUUUUAAAAUUUUCAUGUUUCUCAUGUUUCUGAUUCAUUAUAUUGUGCAACGAAAGCAUCUCCAUUUCAUUUAGCAUUCUGUUGAAUCUGCAGAGAUCUUGCUACUUUAAAUGUAUAUGCACUGUUCUUCUAGCAUAAAAAUCAGCCAUUAAGUUGGAAUGAUGGAACAGCGAUUUCUGGUUUUUAUAGUGAUUAACAAGGCUUACUUCCCCCUACAGAGAUCAUCUAACUGACAUGUCGUACGUACAUUGAUGACCAAAUAAGAGAUUGACAGUAACUCUCAUGUCCUGUCAGGCAUCCAUUGGAUUUUUCCAAAUGCAGUAAAUGAUCUUUGGCUUUUCAAGUAGCUGUUGAAGAAUGCUACAUCCAUUAAUUACUAAAGGUACUAGAAAAAGUCCUUAACCAAGAUGUGGAUGGAUAGUUAUUUAGGAAAGCAGAGGCUAGAAAGAGAGCUAUUUAGUAUUAAUGAGAUUAUAGAGUAAUUUGAUUCAUUAUGGCUACUAGCGAAAUUGAACAGAACAAUCAAAGUUCAUUACCAGGCUGAUUCGAGCAGGGAAAGAGUAGAAAUAAUACUGUGUAUAUGACUACCUUCCCCACACCUUCAUUUGAGAUUAUUUUUUUAUUGUUUCUUAUCAGUAAAAAUCAUACUUUUCUUAUUCUCUUUAUUUAACAGACAUUCCAAAAGAAAUCAUUUAUGGUAUGUGUAAUGAAAUCAGAAAACUAUAAUUGCUCAUCUGAACUUAAUAUAAUAUAAGCUAUAAGAAUUUAAAAAACUGGCAUUACCUUAAAAUCUUUUCAAUGACAAAAUGCAAAAAAAAAAAAAAAAAAUCAAGUUAGGUUGCUGUUUACUUUCCAUGGCCAAUACCAUUAAAACAAAAUGCCAAGAAUUCAAUUUAUGUAAA